rnacentral:rRNA from 1 species
AGUCACUGACAUUAGAUACCCCUGUAGUCCCAGCCGUAAACUAUGCUCGCUAGGUGUCAGGCAUGGCGCGACCGUGUCUGGUGCCGCAGGGAAGCCGUGAAGCGAGCCACCUGGGAAGUACGGCCGCAAGGCUGAAACUUAAAGGAAUUGGCGGGGAGCACCACAACGGGUGGAGCCUGCGGUUUAAUUGGACUCAACGCCGGGAAGCUCACCGGAUAAGACAGCGGAAUGAUUGCCGGGCUGAAGACUCUGCAUGACUAGCUG